rnacentral:rRNA from 1 species
UACAUGGGGUGCAAACGUUGCUCGGAAUUAUUGGGCGUAAAGCGCACGUAGGCGGUUCGUUAAGUCGGAUGUGAAAGCCCUCGGCUCAACUGAGGAAGUGCACCCGAAACUGGCGAGCUUGAGUACGAAAGAGGAUCGCGGAAUUCCCGGUGUAGAGGUGAAAUUCGUAGAUAUCGGGAGGAACACCGAUGGCGAAGGCAGCUCGCUGGGACGGUACUGACGCUGAGGCGCGAAAGCGUGGGGAGCGAACAGG